rnacentral:rRNA from 1 species
AAGCUAGUGAACAUGAUACAGUAANUCGAGCGGAAACGAGUUAUCUGAACCUUCGGGGAACGAUAACGGCGUCGAGCGGCGGACGGGUGAGUAAUGCCUAGGAAAUUGCCCUGAUGUGGGGGAUAACCAUUGGAAACGAUGGCUAAUACCGCAUAAUACCUACGGGUCAAAGAGGGGGACCUUCGGGCCUCUCGCGUCAGGAUAUGCCUAGGUGGGAUUAGCUAGUUGGUGAGGUAAUGGCUCACCAAGGCGACGAUCCCUAGCUGGUCUGAGAGGAUGAUCAGCCACACUGGAACUGAGACACGGUCCAGACUCCUACGGGAGGCAGCAGUGGGGAAUAUUGCACAAUGGGCGCAAGCCUGAUGCAGCCAUGCCGCGUGUGUGAAGAAGGCCUUCGGGUUGUAAAGCACUUUCAGUCGUGAGGAAGGUAGUGUAGUUAAUAGCUGCAUUAUUUGACGUUAGCGACAGAAGAAGCACCGGCUAACUCCGUGCCAGCAGCCGCGGUAAUACGGAGGGUGCGAGCGUUAAUCGGAAUUACUGGGCGUAAAGCGCAUGCAGGUGGUUUGUUAAGUCAGAUGUGAAAGCCCGGGGCUCAACCUCGGAAUAGCAUUUGAAACUGGCAGACUAGAGUACUGUAGAGGGGGGUAGAAUUUCAGGUGUAGCGGUGAAAUGCGUAGAGAUCUGAAGGAAUACCGGUGGCGAAGGCGGCCCCCUGGACAGAUACUGACACUCAGAUGCGAAAGCGGGGGGAGCAAACAGGAUUAGAUACCCGUGGAGUCCACGCCGUAAACGAUGUCUACUUGUAGGUUGUGGCCUUGAGCCG